rnacentral:antisense_RNA from 1 species
GCAAUAUAAAAUGCUUCUUUUACGAUCCGAGGAAUGUCUUCAAUGUUGCGAACC